rnacentral:rRNA from 1 species
CAGCAGCCACGGUAAUACCGAGGAUGCAAGCGUUAUCCGGAAUUAUGGGGCGUAAAGGGCUCGCAGGCGGUUUCCUAAGUCUGAUGUGAAAGCCCCCGGCUCAACCGGGGAGGGUCAUUGGAAACUGGGAAACUUGAGUGCAGAAGAGGAGAGUGGAAUUCCACGUGUGGCGGUGAAAUGCGUAGAGAUGUGGAGGAACACCAGUGGCGAAGGCGACUCUCUGGUCUGUAACUGACGCUGAGGAGCGAAAGCGUGGGGAGCGAACAGGAUUAGAUACCCCCGUAGUCCCUGUCUCUUAUAC